GACGAACGCUGGCGGCGUGCUUAACACAUGCAAGUCGAACGGAAAGGCCCUGCUUGCAGGGUACUCGAGUGGCGAACGGGUGAGUAACACGUGGGUGAUCUGCCCUGCACUUCGGAAUAAGCCUGGGAAACUGGGUCUAAUACCGGAUAGGAGCCAUUUUUAGUGUGAUGGUUGGAAAGUUUUUUCGGUGUAGGAUGAGCUCACGGCCUAUCAGCUUGUUGGUGGGGUAAUGGCCUACCAAGGCGACGACGGGUAGCCGGCCUGAGAGGGUGACCGGCCACACUGGGACUGAGACACGGCCCAGACUCCUACGGGAGGCAGCAGUGGGGAAUAUUGCACAAUGGGCGAAAGCCUGAUGCAGCGACGCCGCGUGAGGGAUGACGGCCUUCGGGUUGUAAACCUCUUUCAGCACGGAAGAAGCGAAAGUGACGGUAC
rnacentral:rRNA from 1 species